AAACUUAAUGAAUGUGAUGGAGGCCUUUUCCUAAUCCAGAAGUGAGAUUUCCUAAUCCUAAAACCUUUCUUUUUCUACAGUAAACAGGUGUUAAAACAACAAGGAAAAUGCAUUAAUUUCAUGUGUUCCUUUCUUGCUGCUUAACUGUAUUCCUUUGCUUUUAUCAUGAGCAAUAAUUCCCCCUCACACACCCCCUGCUUCAGCCAGUGAGUUUCCACAUGAAUAUCAUAGGGUUUGAGUGCUGUUUGGCAUGGAAAUAGCAUCAGAUUAAUCAGAUGAAAAUAAUAUUUUGCAAGGACUCAAUAAUUGUAGUCAAAGGAUGCUUUGUUUGUAUUUCUAGUACUAAAGUACUAAUUUUUCCUCUUUAUAUUUGAGGGGAAUUUUUAAAUCCUGGGUUCAGAACAAGCUAAGUCUUUGUGUUUCUCAGGAGACCUGAAGUUUGUUUAAAAAAAAAAAAAAAAGGAAACAGCAACCCAACAUUAAAAAUCUUGCAGGGUCCAAGUCAUACCUGUCCUGUCAGAGCUGGGGCUCUGCGUAGAGAGCAGGAGGCAGCCCAUAAAGGAGCCAAUGUGUGGGGAGCAGCAGGACACAGUCCUGCAUUUCUGGAGGAUUGACUGUUCUCUCCGUUUUUUAAUCAAGGUUGAGUAUUUCUUUGACCCAAACCACUUCCAGGCAAACCUUUAAACUUGCAUCAGGUGGGCAGCUGUAGCUUGAAUGGUUCCUUAGCAGAGAGGCUGGUGGUUGCUGUGCUCUCUUCAUUCUUGGUGACAUUGAGACAUUCAGUAAGGCAAAGUGAAGCACCUUGAACUGCUGGGCACUUAGCUGCUGUUGAAUAUCCUGCCCUGUUUCAUCAAGUAUUUAUUCCAGUUAGUGACUUUUGCUGAAAACUGAAAAUGAAAUAACUCCUUUUUCUUCUAAGUACUCUACAGAAAAACACAGGUAUGAACAUGAUCCCAAAGCACUUUGCUUCAUCUCUCUUGUGUUUUUUAUUUUAACAAUCUGUGGUUCUGUGAAUCUCUCAAGGUUGUUUUUGUUAUUUCUUUAUUUUUUCAAAAAGUAAUUAGUUUUAUAAAUAGUAAAGGAACAUUUAUUUUA